rnacentral:lncRNA from 1 species
AUCACCUCUUACCAUGUUUAAGACUAUGACUUUCAUUGAAUAUAAAGUUUAAAGUUGUCUGCAGAUGCUAGGAAGUUUAAAGUUUUUGCAUGAGUCCAUAUUAUGUGUUUUCUUUGACUCGGUUCUUGAGAUAAGUAUAUAUGGACUAAUCUUUCAUGUGUUUGGUGUUGCAGAGUUCGUUGUUUAUGUGCUAGACAAAGUACUCGCAAGGUGUUUGUUACACAUUACUGAAACCAAAAACACUUUGACACGCAGAUCUUCCAGUUUAUCGAUUAUGUUACAAGCUCGUUAAUUCAUAUGUUUCAGUGGCAUCAAAGGCAAAGAAGUAGGAGAUGAGAAGUUGGUAGGUGUUAUUGAUCUGUCAAACAUCACAUACAAGAACCUUGAUGCUCGUGGAUUGAUCACUGGCUUUCAGUUCUUACAAGUGAGCACCUCCUCUACUUUUAAUACAAUGUAAAUCUCACACAAAAAGAAGUCAAUGCUUCUAAAUUUUUCAAAUUUUCUUUAGUCUUACUACCCGGAACGCCUUGCGAAAUGCUACAUCUUACAUAUGCCGGGAUUCUUCGUGACUGUUUGGAGAUUCGUCUGCCGUUUCCUAGAGAAAACAACUCAGGAAAAGGUUUGAUCUUUAAUCAUCUCGUGAUGUAUCUAUCUCCACAAAUUCAUUUUUUAAGCAAAUCUGAAGCACGUUACUUUUUUUUUCCCUGGUUUUAUAGAUUGUAAUAGUAACAGACGGAGAAGAACAGAGAAAAUUUGAGGAGGAGGUUGGAUUAGAGGCUUUACCUGAAGAAUACGGAGGCCGAGCUAAGCUCACAUUAAUCCAAGAUGUCAUUCUUCCUCAGACUGCUCCACCAAUGUUACCAACAAACAAUAAUGCUUAAUUCUUAAUUCUUGGAAAAGCAUUUAACCCUUCAAACACUGAAUCCUGCUUUAAUACAUAUUAUCUCCCUACUGCUUUACUCUUUUUAUUCUGUAAUGAUUAGAACAAGAUAUCGUUAGAACUUUUCAACAACUUUAAUUUCCAAAAGAAGUAAUAUAAUGAAACACAUGAGAAAGUCGUGUGAAUAUACUCAAUCUGGUGAAAUAAUACCUUUUGUUUACUAGUUUCAGACAUCCCGCUGUUUCUAUUUAUUAGAUAAAAAACGUCUGUUGUUCUAAGGUCUCGGAUCAAAAAAGCCUGCUG